UAACGUUAGUGGCAGACGGGUGAGUAAUGUAUAGGAAUCGUACCUAGUAGUACGGAAUAAUUGUUGGAAACGGCAACUAAUACCGUAUACGCCCUACGGGGAAAAAUUUAAUUGGCUAGUUAGAUGAGCCUAUAUUAGAUUAGCUAGUUGGUGGAGUAAUAGCGUACCAAGGCAAUGAUCUAUAGCUGAUCUGAGAGGAUGAUCAGCCACACUUGAACUGAGAUACGAUUCAG
rnacentral:rRNA from 1 species